GCCAGACCUCUGGUUCCCAUGGACACGGGAAGUCAUACGGUUCUUGCCUGCUUUGGACCAAAUGAAGGCCCAGAAAUUGCUCACCCUUAAGCCCUCUUUAAAACGAAGACAACAGAAAAUCAUCUACUGUGACCCAGUACUUCACUACGAUGAUGAGCUACUUGGGUUUGCCGUGCAGAAGAUGGGGGGGAAUAGAUGGGCAAAAC
rnacentral:lncRNA from 1 species